rnacentral:miRNA from 1 species
GUUUUGCUUACUACAAGUCCCAGGAUGCAUUGCAGCUUUUGCUUAACUUCAGAUUAAAGCAUUGCAUUCUGGGAUCUGUAGUUGAUUUAAAUAGUA